GCUUUAAGUUUUUAAGGGCGCACGGUGGAUGCCUUGGUACCAGGAACCGAAGAAGGACGUAGGAAUCUGCGAUAAGCCUCGGGGAGUCGAUAACCAGACGUCGAUCCGAGGAUUUCCGAAUGGGGAAACCCGGCAGGCUUCAUCGCCUGUCACCCGCACCUGAAUAUAUAGGGUGCGUGGAGGGAACGUGGGGAAGUGAAACAUCUCAGUACCCACAGGAAGAGAAAACAACAUGUGAUUCCGUGAGUAGUGGCGAGCGAAAGCGGAUCAGGCUAAACCUCGUUCGUGCAAGACCUGUCAGGGGUUGCGGACGGGGGGUCGUGGGAGCGUUGCGUUCCGGUGCUGACACACUGGUGCGGAGUAAGAAAUCGAGAGUGUAGGCGAAAGGUCUGGGAAGGCCUGGCAGAGACGGUGAGACCCCGGUAGCCGAAAUGUUCUCGACUCCGUGCACGUUUUUCCCAAGUAGUACGGGGCCCGUGAAAUCCCGUACGAAUCAGGCAGGACCACCUGCUAAGCCUAAAUAUUCCCUGGUGACCGAUAGCGGACAAGUACCGUGAGGGAAAGGUGAAAAGUACCCCGGGAGGGGAGUGAAAUAGUUCCUGAAACCGUGUGCCUACAAUCCGUCGGAGCUGGACUGCGGUCUGGUGACGGCGUGCCUUUUGAAGAAUGAGCCUGCGAGUUAGUGCUCAGUGGCGAGGUUAACCCGUGUGGGGCAGCCGUAGCGAAAGCGAGUCCGAACAGGGCGUUUGAGUCGCUGGGUCUAGACCCGAAGCGGAGUGAUCUACCCAUGGCCAGGGUGAAGCGCGGGUAAGACCGCGUGGAGGCCCGAACCCACUUAGGUUGAAAACUGAGGGGAUGAGCUGUGGGUAGGGGUGAAAGGCCAAUCAAACUCCGUGAUAGCUGGUUCUCCCCGAAAUGCAUUUAGGUGCAGCGUCAUGUGUUUCUUGCCGGAGGUAGAGCUACUGGAUGGCUGAUGGGCCCCACCGGGUUACUGACGUCAGCCAAACUCCGAAUGCCGGUAAGUGAGAGCAUGGCAGUGAGACUGCGGGGGAUAAGCUUCGUAGUCGAGAGGGAAACAGCCCAGAUCACCGGCUAAGGUCCCUAAGCGUGUGCUAAGUGGGAAAGGAUGUGGAGUUGCUGUGACAACCAGGAGGUUGGCUUAGAAGCAGCCACCCUUUAAAGAGUGCGUAAUAGCUCACUGGUCAAGUGAUUCCGCGCCGACAAUGUAGCGGGGCUCAAGCACACCACCGAAGCCGUGGCAGUGACACUUUGCUCGGC
rnacentral:rRNA from 2 species